UCCGGUUUGUCACCGGCAGUCCCAUUAGAGUGCCCAACUGAAUGUAGCAACUAAUGGCAAGGGUUGCGCUCGUUGCGGGACUUAACCCAACAUCUCACGACACGAGCUGACGACAGCCAUGCAGCACCUGUGCAGGAUCUCCGAAGAGGGGCUCUCGUUUCUGAGAGCUUGCUCCUGCAUGUCAAGCCUAGGUAGGGUUCUUCGCGUUGCGUCGAAUUAAAUCACAUGCUCCACCGCUUGUGCGGGCCCCCGUCAAUUCCUUUGAGUUUCAACCUUGCGGUCGUACUCCCCAGGCGGGGUACUUCCUGCGUUAGCUGCGCCACCAACAAGCAUGCUUGCUGACGGCUAGCAUCCAUCGUUUACGGCGUGGACUAC
rnacentral:misc_RNA from 1 species